ensembl:misc_RNA Y_RNA Y RNA
GGUUGGUCCGAAGGUAGGGAGUUAUUGCAACUGAUUUUUCACAGUUAGUUGCAGAUUUAAUUCCUUGUUCUACUUUUUUCUGCCUUCUCACUACUACACUUGAUUAGUUUUUA